rnacentral:rRNA from 1 species
GUCUCAGGCCGGAUCAGCCUGAAGGCGCCCGAUUUCGUCUGAUCUCGGAAGCUAAGCAGGGUCGGGCCUGGUUAGUAUCUUGGAUGGGAGACCACCUGGGAAUCCCGGGUGCUCGAGGCU